GACAGAGGUGCCGAGCGUUAGGCGGAAUCACUGGGCUUAAAGCGUGUGUAGGCGGCCCGUUAAGUGUCCCGUGAAAUCCCCCGGCUCAACCGGGGAACGGCGGGGCAUACUGGCGGGCUUGGGCCACUCAGGGGCAGACGGAACAGGCGGUGGAGCGGUGAAAUGCGUAGAGAUCCGGAGGAACACCAAAGGCGAAGGCAGUGUCCUGGGGAGUACCUGACGCUCAGGUGCGAAAGCCAGGGGAGCGAACGGGG
rnacentral:rRNA from 1 species